GAUGCCUAAGCUCAAGUGAUCCUCCCACCUCAGCCUCCCAAGUAGCUGGGACCACAGAAAUUUGAUGUAUUCUUUCCAUCCUGGGAAUGGACAUAAUGAUAGUCGGAGGACUGUGUUUUAUACCAAUGAAGAGUAGGAAUUUUUAGACCCAACCCCUAAGGACCUAGAGGAGUCCAUAGUACAGGAAGAAAAGAAGAAGCCGACCCCUGAAGGAAACAAAGUUUCACAAAGGCUGAAAAAUUUGCCUCAUACUUCCUUCAAAGCCAAACAGUUGCUUCAAACUUCAUCUACAAAUAGAGGAUUUGUACCUCAAUUGAUGGAAUACUGGUAAUUCUUCUAUUCCAUUUGAAGAUGAAAAAGGCCAAAAUCGUAGGCCUGGCAUAGAAGUUGGAUAAUGAAGACGGCUCUGGAAGAAUAUAUAGAAACAACAGAACCAAGAAAUGGUGGAUCAGUUGGAAGAAGUAACUGUUUGCUCACAACAUGACUGCUGGAUUUGGGGGGCACUCAGAUGUAGAGGCUUCAGUCUCGUCUCACCCACUCCCAGCCUGGGGAAGGCUCACCCCCCAGAUUCCACCCCAUCCCCAUAAGGAAAAGAAAGAGUGCCACCAGAAGCAGGGAGCUCUAAGGGAGCAGUUACAGGAGAGUCUGAAGAUCUGGCCAGCUGCCUGUAGUAUUCCUGGCAGUGUGUGGGAGAGGUGGAGCAGGCUCUUUGCUGUCUCCAUACAGCAGAAGAAAGCGACAGGUACAACAAGGAGUUAACCAAAGAGAGAAACACCCUCAGGCUGGAGUUAUACAAGAACAGGUAAUGGAGUCAGUUGGACAACUACAAAUGGAGAGAGAGACGUAUGCUGAAAAUCUGAAAGGAGGGAGUGCCAUGUGGCAGCAGAGGAUGCAGUAGAUGUCAGAGCAGGUGCGCACAUUGAGAGAGGAGAAGGAGCAUAGCAUGAGUUGGGUAUAAGAACUGGAAAUGAGCUUGGCUGAACUGAGUAACCAAAUGGCCGUGCCCCUGGAACUCCAAGCAGGGCCCUCCAAGGUGGAGCAGCAGCUACAAGCAGAGGCUGACCACCUGCAGAAGGAACUGGAUAGUCUGGCAGCUCCAAGCCGAGGAGCAAGACACUGAGGGCUUCAGUCACCCGAACCACGAGUGGGAGGAGAGGCUGCUGGAGCUGCAGCAGGUGGCCAAGCUCUUGGGGGAGCAGGCAGACAAAUCUUGGAGACCAUGCAGAAUGACUGCACCACCAUCAGCCGCGUGCUCACCCAGAACCACGAGCUCAAGGAGCAGCUGUCUGAGCUGCAGAAUGGAUUCAUAAAGCUGACUAACGAGAACAUGGAGAUCACCAGUGCAAUGCAGUUGGAAUAGCACGUAAAGAGGGAGCUGGGAAAGAAGCUGGGCAAGCUAAAGGAGACGAUGGAGCUGAAGAGCCAGAAGGCUCGGUCUGCAGCAGCAGCAAGACCAGUACCUGAGUCACCUGCAGCAGUAUGUUGCCACCUAUCAGCAGCUGACCUCUGAGAAGGAGGGGCUGCACAACCAGUUAUUGCUGUAGGCCCAGUUCGUGGACCAGCUGCAGCAGUAGGAAGCUCAAAGAAAAGCAAUGGUCAAGAUGGCCUGCCAAGAGUUGCGGGAGACCCAGGAGUGCCUGGAAGCUUUCAGUCAGCAGAAUCAGCAGCCUCAGGCCCAGUUGAGCCUCAUGGCUCUACCUGGGGAAGGAGAUGGACUGGACAGUGAGGAGGAAGUGGAGGUGCCUCAGCCCAUGCCGAGCAUCCUGGAGGACCUAGAGACCCAGAAGGCCAUGGGGGCAUUUUUCAACUCAGCUGUAGCUAGUGCCCAGGAGGAGCAGGCAUGGCUACGUGGGCAGCUGAAGGAGUGCACUGCCAGCACAUGGCUCAUCUGCUGGCCUCGGCCCAGAAGGAACCUGAGGUGGCAGCCCUAGCCCCAGGAACUGGGGGCAAUUCCAUGUGUGGGGAGACCCACUGGGCCCUGCAGGCGGCCAUGGAGAGGCUGUAGAGCCGUUUUAUGGAGCUCAUGCAGGAGAAGGUGGACUUGAAGGAGAUGGUGGAGGAACUGGAACAUCGCUUCAUCUAGCUGUCUGGAGAGACAGACAUCAUCGGGGAGUGGGAAGCCAGGGCACAGUAAGGAGAGCUGCACAUCGGUCAGAGGGGCCCCAGCGUCUGAGCCCUGUCCUCCUGUAGGAGAGUACAUCGCAGUGUACCAGAGCCAGAGGGCAGUGCUGAAGGAGCAGCACCAGGAGAAGGAGUGCAUCAGCAGGCUGGCCCAGGACAAGGGAAAAGAUGAAGGUGAAGCUGCUGGAGCUUUUUGCGGCUUGUGAGCGACUGCAACGAGUAGCAUGGAAGAUUCCUGGCAGCUGCCCAGAACCCUGCUGAUGAGCCCACUCCAGAGGUCCCAGCCCCCCAGCAGCUUGGGGCUGCUGACAAGCAGGGUAGUGAGUAGAGCCCUCAGGCAGGGUGGGCACACAGGAGGGCUCGCACAGCGCCCUGCCUCCCUCUCUCCAAAGAUCUUUGCGAGGUGAGCCUUGCCAGCAGCGGGGAGCCUGUGCAAGGAGAGGCAGGGAAGGGUUCUCCCUGUGGUAACCCCACUGCGCAGCAGAUCAUACCGCUGCUUUAUGGAGAUGCAGAACCUCCAGGAGCACGCAAGCUUGGGCAGCAGCCCUUGCAUUCCUUUUUUGUACCAGACUGCCGAGAACGAUGAGGUGAAGAUCACCAACAUCUAAAAGCCGGCCACUGUCAGCAAAAUCUGGAGAAGUGGGGCUGGAGGCUCUGCCUCUACCGUGCCCCUACCACCCCUUCCCAGUCAACUCUUUACCCUUACAGUAGCAAGCAUAAGACCCCUGUCUAAUGUGGAGAGACGGGUGGAGAUGAGGUGAGGAUCACCAUAAUCUAAAAGGCCACUAAAUAAAAUAAAUUUUAAAAA